GUGAAUCAUCGAAUUUUUGAACGCAAAUUGCACUCUCUGGUAUUCCGGAGAGUAUGCCUGUUUGAGGGUCAGUUAAAUAAAAAUCGGUGUUUUGUUGCCGCUUUGCGUAGUGACGCAUCGGGUUUGUUUCGUCUUACUUUCGGUUAAAUGACCUAUAAAUUUGCAUGAGUUUUUUGCACGUAAUGAAAUGAUUU
rnacentral:misc_RNA from 1 species